rnacentral:rRNA from 1 species
GUAGGGAAUCUUGCGCAAUGGACGAAAGUCUGACGCAGCGACGCCGCGUGAGCGAUGAAGGCCUUCGGGUCGUAAAGCUCUGUGGGGAGAGACGAAUAAGGUACGGCUAAUACCCGUAUCGAUGACGGUAUCUCCUUAGCAAGCACCGGCUAACUCUGUGCCAGCAGCCGCGGUAAGACAGAGGGUGCAAACGUUGUUCGGAAUUACUGGGCGUAAAGCGCGCGUAGGCGGCAGCGUGUGUCGGGCGUGAAAUCCCACGGCUCAACCGUGGAAGUGCACUCGAAACUGCGCAGCUAGAGUCUCGGAGAGGAAGGCGGAAUGCUUGGUGUAGAGGUGAAAUUCGUAGAUAUCAAGCGGAACACCGGUGGCGAAGGCGGCCUUCUGGACGAUGACUGACGCUGAAGUGCGAAAGCGUGGGGAGCAAACAGGAUUAGAUACCCGUGUAGUCC